UGGGGAAUAUUGGACAAUGGGGGAAACCCUGAUCCAGCAAUGCCGCGUGUGUGAAGAAGGUUUUCGGAUUGUAAAGCACUUUCGGCGGGGACGAUGAUGACGGUACCCGCAGAAGAAGCCCCGGCUAACUUCGUGCCAGCAGCCGCGGUAAUACGAAGGGGGCUAGCGUUACUCGGAAUGACUGGGCGUAAAGGGCGUGUAGGCGGUUUGUACAGUCAGAUGUGAAAUCCCCGGGCUUAACCUGGGAGCUGCAUUUGAUACGUGCAGACUAGAGUAUGAGAGAGGGUUGUGGAAUUCUCAGUGUAGAGGUGAAAUUCGUAGAUAUUGGGAAGAACACCGGUGGCGAAGGCGGCAACCUGGCUCAUUACUGACGCUGAGGCGCGAAAGCGUGGGGAGCAAACA
rnacentral:rRNA from 1 species